rnacentral:rRNA from 1 species
AUGAACGCUAGCUACAGGCUUAACACAUGCAAGUCGAGGGGCAGCAUCAUCAAAGCUUGCUUUGAUGGAUGGCGACCGGCGCACGGGUGAGUAACACGUAUCCAACCUGCCGACAACACUGGGAUAGCCUUUCGAAAGAAAGAUUAAUACCGGAUGGCAUAAUUAUUCCGCAUGGGAUAAUUAUUAAAGAAUUUCGGUUGUCGAUGGGGAUGCGUUCCAUUAGGCAGUUGGCGGGGUAACGGCCCACCAAACCUACGAUGGAUAGGGGUUCUGAGAGGAAGGUCCCCCACAUUGGAACUGAGACACGGUCCAAACUCCUACGGGAGGCAGCAGUGAGGAAUAUUGGUCAAUGGACGAGAGUCUGAACCAGCCAAGUAGCGUGAAGGAUGACUGCCCUAUGGGUUGUAAACUUCUUUUAUACGGGAAUAAAGUGAGCCACGUGUGGCUUUUUGUAUGUACCGUAUGAAUAAGGAUCGGCUAACUCCGUGCCAGCAGCCGCGGUAAUACGGAGGAUUCGAGCGUUAUCCGGAUUUAUUGGGUUUAAAGGGAGCGUAGGCGGGUUGUUAAGUCAGUUGUGAAAGUUUGCGGCUCAACCGUAAAAUUGCAGUUGAUACUGGCGACCUUGAGUGCAACAGAGGUAGGCGGAAUUCGUGGUGUAGCGGUGAAAUGCUUAGAUAUCACGAAGAACUCCGAUUGCGAAGGCAGCUCACUGGAGUGUAACUGACGCUGAUGCUCGAAAGUGUGGGUAUCAAACAGGAUUAGAUACCCUGGUAGUCCACACAGUAAACGAUGAAUACUCGCUGUUGGCGAUAUACGGUCAGCGGCCAAGCGAAAGCAUUAAGUAUUCCACCUGGGGAGUACGCCGGCAACGGUGAAACUCAAAGGAAUUGACGGGGGCCCGCACAAGCGGAGGAACAUGUGGUUUAAUUCGAUGAUACGCGAGGAACCUUACCCGGGCUUAAAUUGCAACUGACGGAACCGGAAACGGUUCUUUCUUCGGACAGUUGUGAAGGUGCUGCAUGGUUGUCGUCAGCUCGUGCCGUGAGGUGUCGGCUUAAGUGCCAUAACGAGCGCAACCCUUACGGGUAGUUACCAUCAGGUUAUGCUGGGGACUCUACCCGGACUGCCGUCGUAAGAUGUGAGGAAGGUGGGGAUGACGUCAAAUCAGCACGGCCCUUACGUCCGGGGCUACACACGUGUUACAAUGGGGGGUACAGAAGGCAGCUACACGGCGACGUGGUGCUAAUCCCAAAAGCCUCUCUCAGUUCGGAUUGGAGUCUGCAACCCGACUCCAUGAAGCUGGAUUCGCUAGUAAUCGCGCAUCAGCCACGGCGCGGUGAAUACGUUCCCGGGCCUUGUACACACCGCCCGUCAAGCCAUGAAAGCCGGGGGUACCUGAAGUACGUAACCGCGAGGAGCGUCCUAGGGUAAAACUGGUGAUUGGGGCU